CAGCAGCCACGGUAAUACGGAGGGUGCAAGCGUUAAUCGGAAUUACUGGGCGUAAAGCGUGCGUAGGCGGUUCGUUAAGUCUGUUGUGAAAGCCCCGGGCUCAACCUGGGACUUGCAUUUGUGACUGGCGAGCUAGAGUAUGUCAGAGGAGGGUGGAAUUCCAGGUGUAGCAGUGAAAUGCGUAGAGAUCUGGAGGAACAUCAGUGGCGAAGGCGGCCAUCUGGGACAACACUGACGCUGAGGCACGAAAGCGUGGGGAGCAAACGGGAUUAGAUACCCCGGUAGUCCCUGUCUCUUAUAA
rnacentral:rRNA from 1 species